CUUCAGUCCCCAAAUAAUGAUUAAACUGACGAACAUCAUAUGUGUGAUUCAUGGCUCAAUUCAAACGGGAUCCAAACAUUAUUUGUCUCUCUCCGUUCACUACCAGACAGAUUUGUUUCUGAAAUAAAAGUCCCAUGGUGGAUACAGGAAGGGGCGGGACUUCG